UAGAUUAGGCUAAUGUAUUUUAUUUGAAGGCAUUAUUGCACACAUGAUGGAUACAUUAGUACAGACAGGUGACAUGUCAUAGUAAAGAGCAAUUCUGAAACAUCAACUCUUCCUCAGUUUUGUGCGUAUUUCAUCUUCAAGACAGGUAACCGUUAAGACACUGACAUUCCGCAGAAAAUUGGUUUUGCGAUAAAUACUGCAGAUACAGCACAUGCGACAGUUUACAUGUAAAACGCAGCCACUCAUCAAGCUACCGAAGUGAUUACAUUUUCUAGACAUUAUUCCAAUGUAAGAAGCAGCAAUUGAUGAACCGGUCUUCAGUUAAUCUAGAUGAGGUUGCCCAACAAGAACCAUCAUGCCAAUUUUUUUUUUGAGUGCGUGUGUGUUGUACAGUCUACUCCUGACCCCGAGUGCCUGUUCUUUCAUCAGAGAUUAUGUGCAUUCUCCAUUGACCAAGAAAAGAAAAUUAUCGAAACCUCAGUUAGGUGAAUCUUCAUAAAUUUUUGUUUGCUUUUGAUUUCACCGAUAUAAACAGUCCACACUAUGAAGCUAAUGACAAAUCCCUUCUAAUGCAUUUCAGUAAAGUUCCAGCGGGGGAGGAGGGGGAGGAUCAAAGCAAUUAUAGUAUGAGAAGGCCACGGCAGGAACAGCCAUUUUUUCAGUUUGUUUAUUUGCAAAACCAAUAGGUUUUAAACAUCCAGUGUACUCUUUCCUCUUAAGACAAAAUAAACCAGAAGCAAACAAACAAACAAAAAUCCUUCUUUUAGGAAACUAAACAGAAGUAUUUCCUUUCUAACAGUACUGGCCAACUAAGACUGUUGCCAAUCACAAAAUAAUAAUUGAAAUGUGCAAAGUUUUUCUUACCACUCUCUCAGUGUCGGAUCAGCAGCACUAGUGAGAAAAUCUCAGCAGGCUAAAUAAGAUUGGGCAAUGUUAGGUAGCAAAAACCAAAGAAAAAAAAAUAUGGUUUUUACUAUAUGUAUUUUGGCUGAUGUGUACUAUGGUCGUUGCUGCUGCCCAGGAAUAAUGGGAGUUUGAGCGCAGGACUUGUUUCUUUGUGUUUGUUUUCAAUGUUAGGUAGCAGCUGAAGCGGCAAUAGGUAUUACCCCUAGAAACAGGGAAAAGUGCACUUUCCAUAAACUGCCCUUAAAUAACCUGCCCCAAGUGACCCUGUGACACUAGCUACAGGGAUUGUGGCACAAUUCACAUUGAUUGUCCCCUGUAACUACAACACUGGCAGAUAAAGAAAUAGUUGUACGGUACUGAUUCACUUCGUAUGAAAACACAAUUAAUGUCCGUUCAAACCGUGUCCUCAGCAAUCUUUUACACACAAAGAUUAAUCUUCGCUUAUAUAUUUUUCUUUCUUCCAAAUAUAUAAACCAGACUCCGAAAGCAUAAGACAUUCACAACACUAACACGUCUCAUGUAUAUUGGAAUACAAAAACAUCAAAAGGAUGUUGCAAGCCAGAGAUAAACCUUGUCAACCUAUCUGAUCUUCAAAUCAGGAAUAAGGUCAAACAAAUGGUAGAACAAUUCAGAUUUUAUCUAAAUCAGUGUUCAUGGUUGUGAGUUAGCCAGGUCCACACUGCUACAGGAUUUAUUCCUAAACCCACAUGUUUACUCAAAAGGGUUCUCAAAGGCAAUAUCACACUAUUAAAGGUUAACUAAUUCUCUGUGUUUUCUAAUAAUAUGUUUAGGCUUAUUUGCAUUUUUAGGUUUUUUGAAGUUUUAUGGGUCAUCAAAGCUUAAACUGUUGGUCACCAUAACUAGAAGGGUAUUAGCCAUACAUCACUGACACGGAUAAAGGGUCCGAUAUAUCACCUGAGAUUAUUUGUAUAGAUCUCCUGCAGAGGAGACCUACCUAGCAUAUAGAUUCUGGGACUGGCCUUGUGGGUAAAAAUCAGUCUGAUAAACAAAUGUUAUAGUGUUUCUCUGCAAUGGCACAUGUAACAAAUCAAUUUAGAUUGUUUGUCCCAAUUUGUUUUACUUAUUUUCAGAGCACUUUUAUCAGAAAUUGUAUUAAUCCCACGUGUCUCCCAAAAUAGAACAAGCAUUAGCAUGCCCAUAAAACAUAAAAAAACUUGAUGAGUACACAAUGAUAUUUCAAAGAACUAUAAACGAAGACAAAGGACAAUGUACACUUUAGCAACUGUGAAAAGAUACGGCUUUCAUAAGCCACUUUAUUAAGUGUACAAAGGAUUAGAAGAUCAGAUGUGUCUUGUUUAGAACAAAAUGGAUUCGCUCAUAGGUUCUUUGAGUAAACUCGUUCUAUUCUGGACAAACGCGUCAGAUGUUUUAAUGCUUUGUACACUUCUUAAUGAGCCUUGUGGAAGGCAUUUUGGAAGCACCUGUGCCGGACAAGGCUGAUUGCCUUUUCCUGGAAUGAGGCGGAUUAUACCCUUUUGCAUACAGCAGCUCUUUUUGCAGUAAUUGGAGCUGUAUGAAAAUAGAGAGAGUGUAUACCAAGGCCAAUUUUCCCAGCAUAGAAUUAUAUACUGUGGUGCAACAGCUUAAAACGUAAAAACACAAUACCUCUAGAAAUAUUCCAAAGCAUAUAAUUUUAUACAAUACUUUACUCAAACUGUGGCAAUAUAGAAAGUACAAAACAUUAUGUGAAACUAUUUGAGCUUUAACAGGCAAUUCAUAAUUAGACUUAACAGCAGUUCAUCCAUAUUUCUACUAGUUUCCUAAAAACAUCAUGUGCAUGUAAACCAAUGCGGCACAUUUAUUAACAUGUUUGAAAUGCAGAUGUGUGUUGUGUUAGUCGGGUAAAGAGGUUUAUUGUAUUACUUAAUAGAGUUAUCAACCUGUAAAUACACCUUAGCCUUUACUUGGAAUAUAAAUAAAGUAUGCUACCGUGCUUCAAUUACUUAAAUGUGGUGAUCAGGACAGACUGCUGCUGCCAUCCACUGGUGGGUUACUAAAAUAGUUGACUAUGAUCCAUGCACAUUGGCUUUUGAUUUCCAUUUUUAUUUUCAUCCUGACACACCACAUUUAAACACUAUUUUAGCACUGUAUUUCCAAUAAACGCAGAGAUACAGUUGCAAGAAAAAGUAUGUGAACCCUUUGGAAUGAUAUGGA